rnacentral:lncRNA from 1 species
AUGAUCGAUGACUCGGAUUAUGCUAUUUGUACCUACCUCAAGUAUGUAAUGCUUAUCUCAUUCGAAUGCAUAACUGAUAUCUUAAAAUGAUUUAUUGUUUUAAUAGAAACACGGUAAUAUGAGGAAAUUUAGAAACUUAUAACAUAAAUUAAAUGACAAUAUAAAAGAAAUUGUAUACCUUAUCAUCAAAAUAAAAUUCAGGGAGCUUUGUAUCAUCAUAAUCCAAUUAAUAAGAAC